GGCGUCUCAUGGGCAGUUAGAACAUAAGAACAAAUUUGCUUGUGUCUCGAUGAAAGAACUUGAAAAGACCUUGAAUAGAAUAAAUUAGGACAUAGACUUGGGUGUGUCUCAGUGAAGGUUAAAGAUCUUAAUUCCACGUUGACAGCGAGGAGGUUGUGUCACCCUCCUUUGACUUCUACAAUGUGGUCUCUGAGUCCACCUCUACGUGCUCCGUGAUAAGGGCAUCACGCAUUAACAGAUUUAUGAGUACAGUUCAAUAGAAAAGGGC
rnacentral:lncRNA from 1 species